rnacentral:rRNA from 1 species
CGAAGGGGGCUAGCGUUGUUCGGAUUUACUGGGCGUAAAGCGCACGUAGGCGGAUCGUUAAGUCGGGGGUGAAAUCCUGGAGCUCAACUCCAGAACUGCCUUCGAUACUGGCGAUCUUGAGUCCGGAAGAGGUGAGUGGAACUCCUAGUGUAGAGGUGGAAUUCGUAGAUAUUAGGAAGAACACCAGUGGCGAAGGCGGCUCACUGGUCCGGUACUGACGCUGAGGUGCGAAAGCGUGGGGAGCAAACAGGGUUAGAUACCCUGGUAGUCCACGCCGUAAACUAUGAGAGCUAGCCGUUGGAGGGUUUACCCUUCAGUGGCGCAGCUAACGCAUUAAGCUCUCCGCCUGGGGAGUACGGUCGCAAGAUUA